GUAUCCUGGCUCAGGAUGAACGCUAGCGACAGGCCUAACACAUGCAAGUCGAGGGGCAGCGGAGAGGUAGCAAUACCUUUUGCCGGCGACCGGCGCACGGGGUGAGUAACACGUAUGCGAAAUCCACCUGUAACAGGGGGGAGUAACCCGGAGAAAUCCGGACUAAUACCCCAUAAUAUGGGCUCUCCGCAUGGAGGGGUCCAUUAAAGAGAGCAAUUUUGGUUACAGACGAGCAUGGCGCUCCAUUAGCCG
rnacentral:rRNA from 1 species